AUUAACGAUGAUGAGCUAUUUAUACAGACACAGACCUGUAAUGAUUUGCGGAAAUGAUCGCAAUUUAUGAACAUCUAAGGGACUGAGUUUUU
rnacentral:snoRNA from 1 species